GGAGCGGCCCGCGUCUGAUUAGCUAGUUGGUGGGGUAAAGGCCCACCAAGGCGACGAUCAGUAGCUGGUCUGAGAGGAUGAUCAGCCACAUUGGGACUGAGACACGGCCCAAACUCCUACGGGAGGCAGCAGUGGGGAAUCUUGCGCAAUGGGCGAAAGCCUGACGCAGCCAUGCCGCGUGAAUGAUGAAGGUCUUAGGAUUGUAAAAUUCUUUCACCGGGGACGAUAAUGACGGUACCCGGAGAAGAAGCCCCGGCUAACUUCGUGCCAGCAGCCGCGGUAAUACGAAGGGGGCUAGCGUUGCUCGGAAUUACUGGGCGUAAAGGGAGCGUAGGCGGACUGUUUAGUCAGAGGUGAAAGCCCAGGGCUCAACCUUGGAAUUGCCUUUGAUACUGGCAGUCUUGAGUACGGAAGAGGUAUGUGGAACUCCGAGUGUAGAGGUGAAAUUCGUAGAUAUUCGGAAGAACACCAGUGGCGAAGGCGACAUACUGGUCCGUUACUGACGCUGAGGCUCGAAAGCGUGGGGAGCAAACAGGAUUAGAUACCCUGGUAGUCCACGCCGUAAACGAUGAGUGCUAGUUGUCGGCAUGCAUGCAUGUCGGUGACGCAGCUAAC
rnacentral:rRNA from 1 species